UUGAUUUGAGCGCUAUCGUACAUUUCUUCUAUUGGUCAGUACUUUUGGCGGUUUAAUUCCUUUGUUCUAGAUCUUAUGGGAAGACAUCUUGUGGUCAACAAUUAUAUAUUUACCUGUCUGCAAUUUAACAACUUAAAGAAAUUAAUAUCUUAAAUAACAAUUCUCUGAUUGGAAAGUUUCUUAUAUAAGAAUUUAUUGGCAAUUAUAUGCACCAGACUUCUUAUUAUGAAAUUCACUUUGAAGUUCCAGUAAAUACGUGCAUCAAACAUACUACCAACUUUACCAGAUUACCAGAUUACCAGAUUACCAGCCACUUCCGAUAGUUUAAUGAAGGAACACAGCAUUUACAUUCAGCAUAGACUAGCGAUAUUUUAUUUAAUUUUCCCUAUACCUUCGGUGGUCAAACACUUUACAGCAUUCCCGACGCGAUUGGGAGUAGUACCUCUGGCCAAGGGAAGCCAGUCGAAAUGGUACGGAAUUGCCAGUAAAAUGUCGUCUAUAUUUGGAAAUAAAGACGUUAAUUGAACACAAAGUUUACACAGAACACAACUGACAAUAAUUUAUUGUAUAAUUCGUUCCACUGUGCAAGAGUGCUAACACAUGAUGGCAGAAUAAUUUUAACAAACAUUGUAACAACAAAAACAUUGUAUUUUUAUUUUUAAUAUUUUUUUUUAUUUUAAUAGUUUACUUCCAUAUAUACUUACUUUCACUUUCUCUUUCAAUUGCUAUUUAUAACGUUACUCACCAUAGCAACAUUGUGACGUUUUAAUUUUCUCAACCCGAUUUUGUACCUCAGCAUGAUUUUGUGUUUUGUAUUCUAUCCUGAUGACGGUGGCCUAGCCACCGAAACAUGUCGAUCUCAAUAAAUUACUGGAGCAUUC